rnacentral:rRNA from 1 species
GAUGAACGCUGGCGGGAGGCCUAACACAUGCAAGCCGAGCGGUAUUGUUUCUUCGGACAUGAGAGAGCGGCGUACGGGUGCGUAACACGUGUGCAACCUGCCUUUAUCUGGGGGAUAGCCUUUCGAAAGGAAGAUUAAUACUCCAUAAUAUAUUGAACGGCAUCGUUUAAUAUUGAAAGCUCCGGCGGAUAGAGAUGGGCACGCGCAAGAUUAGCUAGUUGGUGAGGUAACGGCUCACCAAGGCGAUGAUCUUUAGGGGGCCUGAGAGGGUGAUCCCCCACACUGGUACUGAGACACGGACCAGACUCCUACGGGAGGCAGCAGUGAGGAAUAUUGGUCAAUGGGUGCAAGCCUGAACCAGCCAUCCCGCGUGAAGGACGACUGCCCUAUGGGUUGUAAACUUCUUUUGUAUAGGGAUAAACCUACCCUCGAGAGGGUAGCUGAAGGUACUAUACGAAUAAGCACCGGCUAACUCCGUG